GCUCGGGACUCCGAUCCUGAGGCGGCCGCGCCGGUCCCGCCCGGGUGGGGCCCCGGCGCGCGGUCGAGACCAUGGAGGAGCCGAGCGGUUGCUGUGGGUGCAGCCGCGCUGAAGAGGAAGCACUGAAGGAACCUUCCUGGCAGUGAGUGGGAGUCGCUGAGGGCUCCGUCCAGCUCUGGGCACAAAAGUUGGCCCUAACCUCGGCACCCCCUGUGGCUUUGGGCUCUCAACACCCCCGCUGUAGGAAACACAACACUGCAGGCAGGACCAGCUGUGGACACUCGAUGAAACACUCGCCACAGACCGAAUGAACCCUCAGGACUGGUGCCUCCCUGCAAACAGGCAUCGAGCACAGGGUAAAUAAUUGCAGCUGCUGGGUAAAUGCAGGAAAUCAGCAUUAUUGUAGAGUUUUGUGCUGCCCACAGCUGUUCACCUGUAUUGUUCCAUUGCCAGGAAUGAGCCAUCGAGCUCUGUCCUAUGCACAUUCCAAGGGCUGGUGUUCAAAGCAGCGCUGGCAUAAAAAGUGGACUUCCAUUUGUGCAGGAAUUUCAUUGCUGGCACUGGGAAAGGGUUGGGAGCGUUCUGGGUUUCAUCAGCGUGAUACUCUGUGCAGACCCUGUAGGUGCUGCAAGCGCUGUCCUGCUCCCAGUCCAAGCAGGUUCUGGUUCCCAGUCCUCCCUGCGUCCGUGCCCAGCCAGCAUCCCGGAGACACAACGGGCGCCCACAGCACCCCAAACAGAGGAUUGUUUCCCGAGGGGAAGCGUGGAUUCCAAGGUGUGAGAGAGAUUUGUAUUUCCAGCGUGGAUCAACUCCAACCCUCCCCGGCCACGGCGCAUCCGACUGCAAUAAUUAAUUUAUGUCCCUCCCCGCCCUGUCCCAGCCCAGCCGGCCGCGCUCUCCCCGGCACGUCGCUGUCAAGUGCUUGUGUAGAGGAGUGAGAACUGCAGAUAUUUAUUAAAUGGGGGGUUCUUGACAGUAUUUCAUGUACUAAAUAUUUACACUGAGCGCAGGUGAUUCUUCCUUUUGCCAAGAUCAAAUCAGGAGGUGGAAUUAAAUGCUGUGUCAUAUAGAUGGAAUGGAAAUUGAAGCUGCUCGACUGCUGUAGAGAAAUUGCUGGUCUUAUUCUUCAAAAAAAGCGUAAUAUUAAAUGUUAAAUUAAAUAAAAAGGGUUUUUUAUCACA